rnacentral:rRNA from 1 species
ACUUUUAUCGGGAGCGAAAUACUAUCGGUUAAUAACCGGUGGGGCUGACGGUACCCGAGGAAUAAGCACCGGCUAACUUCGUGCCAGCAGCCGCGGUAAUACGAAGGGUGCAAGCGUUAAUCGGAAUUACUGGGCGUAAAGGGUGCGUAGGCGGUUCGUUAAGUCUGUCGUGAAAUCCCCGGGCUCAACCUGGGAAUGGCGAUGGAUACUGGCAAGCUAGAGUGUGUCAGAGGAUGGUGGAAUUUCCGGUGUAGCGGUGAAAUGCGUAGAGAUCGGAAGGAACAUCAGUGGCGAAGGCGGCCAUCUGGGACAACACUGACGCUGAAGCACGAAAGCGUGGGGAGCAAACAGGAUUAGAUACCCUGGUAGUCCACGCCCUAAACGAUGCGAACUGGAUGUUGGUCUCAACUCGGAGAUCAGUGUCGAAGCUAACGCGUUAAGUUCGCCGCCUGGGGAGUACGGUCGCAAGACUGAAACUCAAAGGAAUUGACGGGGGCCCGCACAAGCGGUGGAGUAUGUGGUUUAAUUCGAUGCAACGCGAAGAACCUUACCUGGCCUUGACAUGUCUGGAAUCCUGCAGAGAUGCGGGAGUGCCUUCGGGAAUCAGAACACAGGUGCUGCAUGGCUGUCGUCAGCUCGUGUCGUGAGAUGUUGGGUUAAGUCCCGCAACGAGCGCAACCCUUGUCCUUAGUUGCCAGCACGUAAUGGUGGGAACUCUAAGGAGACUGCCGGUGACAAACCGGAGGAAGGUGGGGAUGACGUCAAGUCCUCAUGGCCCUUACGGCCAGGGCUACACACGUACUACAAUGGUCGGUACAGAGGGUUGCAAUACCGCGAGGUGGAGCCAAUCCCAGAAAGCCGAUCCCAGUCCGGAUCGGAGUCUGCAACUCGACUCCGUGAAGUCGGAAUCGCUAGUAAUCGCGGAUCAGCUAUGCCGCGGUGAAUACGUUCCCGGGCCUUGUACACACCGCCCGUCACACCAUGGGAGUGAGUUGCUCCAGAAGCCGUUAGUCUAACCGCAAGG